CAGUUUUGACUGACAGCUCUGUCGUCUCUUUUCGUUCUGUCUUUGUGACUGAACUGGACCGGCUGCCUCUGAAGCUCCCGCUCAACCUUGACUUUGUAGAGUUCUCCGAAACCAAAGGCUCAUUCAGACUGCUGACCUUCCUCUCAUAUUUAACAGAACUGUGUGGAUGUGCACAGAAUGGGAUGGGACAAGCAUACAGUGUUUAUCUGAUGGCUCUGGAUGUGAAGGAAACUUGAGCAUGCUUUUGGAUGGUUGAGGAAGUCAGAUUGCCCGAAAAAACCCAAGCCAUGCACAGGGAGAACACGGACACUACACUAUAAGGGCUACAGCUGGGAAUUGAACCUGGGUCUUCUCACACGGAGGAAAGAGUGCAAACCACUCAGGGCAAUUUUGCAUGCUUUUUUUUUUGCAUGGUGUUCUCUGUCCUGAUUAGCUGUAGACUUUCAGUCUCAUCUGUACUUUGACUCCUGUACAGAAUUUGUUCUGUUUUUCCAAAUCUUCUCAAAUCUUUGACUGUGAGAAGAUCUUUGUUUUCUUUCUAAAAUAUUAUUUUUCUAUGGAAGGUUUCAACUUGGGAAGUUUAAGCAAGAUAGAUAAGUGUACAUAGUGUGUAGUGAGAAGUUUUCCCGCCUAAAAACAUCUAUAAUUCUCCUCUCUGGAUUUCACCAACUGGCAGUUAUUCCUAGAACUGUGAAAAACGAUGGAACACAGAAAACAAAAAGGAUGACCAUCAAGAUGAAGUUGUAUCACGACAACGUUUGGAUCAUCAUGUGACCAGUAGGACCUGGCAACCUGACAACAGAAACAGCUGAGCAGCAACAAACUUCGAUGGAGCGUGGAAUUAUGGGAUCUGCAGAACCUGACCGAAUGAAAACUAAAGGAAACGGAACCAAAAGAGUCCAAAUCCCGACAGAAUAAGACAAGAAAACAUCAAAACCUCAGAGAGGAGAAAUGAACACCAGUGGAUGAAAAUAGAAUAUGUCUGAUUGUGUCAAUUAAUAAUAUUUUUUGCUGUUGUCAUUAUUAUUUUUAGAAUUCCAGAGUGAAGGAUGAGACUCUGAAAGUUUGCUAUUAAAAACUGUAAAAGCAUUUCAAAGUCCCUAUUUUUUCUCUUCAGCAUCGUGCAGAACGGACC